UUACAAAUAUACCGUUCUACUUGUCUGUCAAGACUCUAAAAGCUUCAAUCUUUCUUCUCGUUAUAUAUCAAUCCAAUGCCGUACACCCAAACAGUAACCACCACCACCACAAUGGGCCAGGCCGGCCUCACCCUCACCGCGCCGCUCCUCUCCCUCCUCCGCCGUCCGAUCAACCCCACUCGAUCGUCACUGUCGGGACGACGACGACAACGGUAACGGCAAUGGCAGCUUCCGCAACCCGUUUGCGUUUCUCGGGUCGGGCGGGUUUAAGGUGCCCGUAACGACGACGGCGGAUCCGUUCAAGAACCAUACUUUGAAAAUCGGAGAGGUUUACUAGUGGUUAAAGAUCGGGGUUUGCUUCCCCAUCGCG
rnacentral:lncRNA from 1 species